UAGCUGGGACCGGAACUGCCUUUUUUCCAGCCAACCUAUCAGUAGCUGCCCCAUGCGUAUACUGACAAGGCUGAUCUGGCUUCCUUGCUGGGAACGAAGGGUGCCCAUCCACAGCUCCCUUUGGACAAAGGGUAUUGGUGUAGUCGUAAUUAAGAAAACUGCCCAAGGGCUCGUGGAAAGUGGAAGAUGAUGAUGGUCCUCUCCUCAAAGGC